rnacentral:misc_RNA from 1 species
GUGGAAGAAAAAUUAUAAGGUUAUGAAACACAUGAAUAUAUCAAGAUUACAGCCAAUUAAUUAAAGACCAAUUUACCUUAUAACAUAUAUAGAAUAUUCAUAGCCACUAAAAUUAUUGAUCUCUUAAAUUUGCUGCUUCUUCCUCUUAUUUGAUUUGAUGUUGAAUUUCACCAAAAAUAAAACAAUCCCAAGAAAAAUCCACCAAUUAAAAGUGAAAAUCCACUAGAAAAGCUUCUUUUUGCACCACCAAAAUCAUGGUCAACGGGGUACAAAUUUCCAGGUGGACCAGUCAUAUAUAUGUAUUGUGAAUUUGGAGGAUAGGGAAUAUUUGAACCACCACCACCUCCACCGCCGCCGCCGCCGGAAUAAGGAGGUGGAGGGCAAUCAUAGCCACUUGGUGGUUUCUUUGGCGGCGGCGGUGGUGAUGACGGUGGUGGUGGUGGAGGAGAAGGUGGAAUACAAGGUUUGUUACAAGGACAACCUCCACAUUUAUUUUCACCCUCAUCGAGUUUUCGUUGGUUUAGUCCAUUGGUUAUAGGUAUAGCCACCACAAAAAAUAAGAGAAAAAUCACAAAUCGCGACAUGUGUAAGAGAUUUGCUUGUGAAAACCUUUUGAAUGUGAAUUUCUUCUUCUUCUUUUUUUUCUUCCUUAGUAUGAGUGUAUGUGACUAAAUAUAGUAUGUUAACUAGUAAGAAAUGAAAAGUGUUUUUGGAGAAAUGAGAGUUUUGAUUUUGC